rnacentral:rRNA from 1 species
GACGAACGCUGGCGGCGUGCCUAAUACAUGCAAGUAGAACGCACAGUUUAUACCGUAGCUUGCUACACCAUAGACUGUGAGUUGCGAACGGGUGAGUAACGCGUAGGUAACCUGCCUGGUAGCGGGGGAUAACUAUUGGAAACGAUAGCUAAUACCGCAUAAUAUUAAUUAUUGCAUGAUAAUUAAUUGAAAGGUGCAAUUGCACCACUACCAGAUGGACCUGCGUUGUAUUAGCUAGUAGGUGAGGUAACGGCUCACCUAGGCGACGAUACAUAGCCGACCUGAGAGGGUGAUCGGCCACACUGGGACUGAGACACGGCCCAGACUCCUACGGGAGGCAGCAGUAGGGAAUCUUCGGCAAUGGACGAAAGUCUGACCGAGCAACGCCGCGUGAGUGAAGAAGGUUUUCGGAUCGUAAAGCUCGGUUGUAAGAGAAGAACGGGUGUGAGAGUGGAAAGUUCACAAUGUGACGGUAUCUUACCAGAAAGGGACGGCUAACUACGUG